GAUGAAGAACGCAGCGAAAUGCGAUAAGUAAUGUGAAUUGCAGAAUUCAGUGAAUCAUCGAAUCUUUGAACGCACCUUGCACCCUUUGGUAUUCCGAAGGGUAUGCUCGUUUGAGUGUCAUUGUACUCUCACACUUCUAAUUCCUUUCGGGAUUGGGAGCGGUGGACUUGGGUGUUGCUGCUUUAGUUGUGGCUCACCUCAAAUAAGUUAGUGCAACUCUUGGUUGGACAUAGUACGGCGUGAUAAGUGUCUUCGCCGGCGCCUCUGUAAGGAGGGCGGCCGAUCGGGAGCUCUGUGCUUCAAACCGUCUUCGGACAAUCUUUGACAACUUGACCUCAAAUCGAGUAGGACUACCCGCUGAACUUAAGCAUAUCAAUAAGCGGAGGA
rnacentral:misc_RNA from 1 species